GAUGAACGCUGGCGGCGUGCCUAAUACAUGCAAGUCGAGCGAACAGAUAAGGAGCUUGCUCCUUUGACGUUAGCGGCGGACGGGUGAGUAACACGUGGGUAACCUACCUAUAAGACUGGGAUAACUUCGGGAAACCGGAGCUAAUACCGGAUAAUAUUUCGAACCGCAUGGUUCGAUAGUGAAAGAUGGUUUUGCUAUCACUUAUAGAUGGACCGGGCCGUAUUAGCCAGUUGGUAAGGUAACGGCUUACCAAGGCGACGAUACGUAGCCGACCUGAGAGGGUGAUCGGCCACACUGGAACUGAGACACGGUCCAGACUCCUACGGGAGGCAGCAGUAGGGAAUCUUCCGCAAUGGGCGAAAGCCUGACGGAGCAACGCCGCGUGAGUGAUGAAGGUCUUCGGAUCGUAAAACUCUGUUAUUAGGGAAGAACAUACGUGUAAGUAACUGUGCACGUCUUGACGGUACCUAAUCAGAAAGCCACGGCUAACUACGUG
rnacentral:rRNA from 1 species